rnacentral:rRNA from 1 species
AGUGAACGCUGGCGGUAGGCCUAACACAUGCAAGUCGAACGGCAGCACAGUAAGAGCUUGCUCUUACGGGUGGCGAGUGGCGGACGGGUGAGGAAUACAUCGGAAUCUACUUUUUCGUGGGGGAUAACGUAGGGAAACUUACGCUAAUACCGCAUACGACCUACGGGUGAAAGCAGGGGAUCUUCGGACCUUGCGCGAUUGAAUGAGCCGAUGUCGGAUUAGUUAGUUGGCGGGGUAAAGGCCCACCAAGGCGACGAUCCGUAGCUGGUCUGAGAGGAUGAUCAGCCACACUGGAACUGGGACACGGUCCAGACUCCUACGGGAGGCAGCAGUGGGGAAUAUUGGACAAUGGGCGCAAGCCUGAUCCAGCCAUACCGCGUGGGUGAAGAAGGCCUUCGGGUUGUAAAGCCCUUUUGUUGGGAAAGAAAAGCAGCAGGUUAAUACCCCGCUGUUCUGACGGUACCCAAAGAAUAAGCACCGGCUAACUUCGUG